rnacentral:rRNA from 1 species
UACGUAGGGGGCAAGCGUUGUCCGGAUUUAUUGGGCGUAAAGAGCGUGUAGGCGGCCAUACAGGUCCGUUGUGAAAACUCGAGGCUCAACCUCGAGACGUCGAUGGAAACCGUAUGGCUAGAGUCCGGAAGAGGAGAGUGGAAUUCCUGGUGUAGCGGUGAAAUGCGUAGAGAUCAGGAAGAACAUCGGUGGCGAAGGCGCUCUGCUGGACCAUAACUGACACUCAGGGACGAAAGCUAGGGGAGCGAAUGGG